UACGUAGGGGGCAAGCGUUGUCCGGAAUCACUGGGCGUAAAGAGCGUGUAGGCGGCCAAACAGGUCCGUUGUGAAAACUGGAGGCUCAACCUCCAGACGUCGACGGAAACCGUGUGGCUAGAGUCCGGAAGAAGAGAGUGGAAUUCCUGGUGUAGCGGUGAAAUGCGCAGAUAUCAGGAAGAACACCAAUGGCGAAGGCAGCUCUCUGGGACGGUACUGACGCUGAGACGCGAAAGCGUGGGGAGCGAACAGG
rnacentral:rRNA from 1 species